AACGAACGCUGGCGGCAUGCCUAACACAUGCAAGUCGAACGAGACCUUCGGGUCUAGUGGCGCACGGGUGCGUAACGCGUGGGAACCUGCCCUUAGGUUCGGAAUAACUCCCCGAAAGGGGUGCUAAUACCGGAUAAUGUCUUCGGACCAAAGAUUUAUCGCCUUUGGAUGGGCCCGCGUUGGAUUAGCUAGUUGGUAGGGUAAAAGCCUACCAAGGCGACGAUCCAUAGCUGGUCUGAGAGGAUGAUCAGCCACACUGGGACUGAGACACGGCCCAGACUCCUACGGGAGGCAGCAGUGGGGAAUAUUGGACACUGGGCGAAAGCCUGAUAAAGCAAUGCCGCGUGAGUGAUGAAGGCCUUAGGGUUGUAAAGCUCUUUUACCCGGGAUGAUAAUGACAGUACCGGGAGAAUAAGCUCCGGCUAACUCCGUG
rnacentral:rRNA from 1 species